rnacentral:rRNA from 1 species
AGCGAACGCUGGCGGCAGGCCUAACACAUGCAAGUCGAACGAAGUCUUCGGACUUAGUGGCGGACGGGUGAGUAACACGUGGGAACGUGCCUUUAGGUUCGGAAUAACUCAGGGAAACUUGUGCUAAUACCGAAUGUGCCCUUCGGGGGAAAGAUUUAUCGCCUUUAGAGCGGCCCGCGUCUGAUUAGCUAGUUGGGGAGGUAAAGGCUCACCAAGGCUACGAUCAGUAGCUGGUCUGAGAGGAUGACCAGCCACAUUGGGACUGAGACACGGCCCAAACUCCUACGGGAGGCAGCAGUGGGGAAUCUUGCGCAAUGGGCGAAAGCCUGACGCAGCCAUGCCGCGUGGAUGAUGAAGGUCUUAGGAUUGUAAAAUCCUUUCACCGGUGAAGAUAAUGACUGUAGCCGGAGAAGAAGCCCCGGCUAACUUCGUGCCAGCCGCCGCAGUAAGAC